ensembl:lncRNA
UACAGAGUCAUUUACUGUUGCUAAAGUGAAAAUGAAAGUAGGCUAUGCAGCAGGUUCCUGCAAAACGCAGCAAUUUUUUAACAGGGAAAAGACACAGUAUCAGAAUUUAGACUAUUCAUAAGUCAUAUCUAGACUACUGCAAAUUCUCUCCAAGUGAAUUCUGAAGCUGAGGCAGGAGAAAGAACUAACACCUGACGACACGGAGGAUCGAAUCUCUAAAACGGAUCGACAUAAACACCACACUGCAGAAGAUAAAGCGGUUUGAAUGUUGGUGUCUAUGCAAGACAGGAUAAAUAGGUCUACGCUUUCUCCCGUUUAUAUGGAUUCAGUGGGGGUGAAUGUUAUUGAAACUGCAGCUCUGGGGAGACCCUUCCAGCUGGGGAUGCUGUAUGCCUGCAGAAAAGAUGCGCUAGUACCAGGUACCAGAUCAGGAGUUAAAAAAAGAGAUAAACAAGAAAACAAACAACUUAAUUUUCUGUAAAGUUGCUUUGCAAUGAUUUGUGUCGUAAAAAAUCGCUAUACAAAUAAACUUGAAUUGAAUUGAAUUGAAAAACA